UUAAGUUAGAAAGGGCGCACGGUGGAUGCCUUGACACUAGGAGUCGAUGAAGGACGGGACUAACGCCGAUAUGCUUCGGGGAGCUGUAAGUAAGCUUUGAUCCGAAGAUUUCCGAAUGGGGAAACCCACCAUACGUAAUGGUAUGGUAUCCUUAUCUGAAUACAUAGGGUAAGGAAGACAGACCCGGGGAACUGAAACAUCUAAGUACCUGGAGGAAGAGAAAGCAAAUGCGAUUUCCUGAGUAGCGGCGAGCGAAACGGAACAUAGCCCAAACCAAGAGGCUUGCCUCUUGGGGUUGUAGGACAUUCUAUACGGAGUUACAAAGGAACGAGGUAGACGAAGCGACCUGGAAAGGUCCGUCGUAGAGGGUAACAACCCCGUAGUCGAAACUUCGCUCUCUCUUGAAUGUAUCCUGAGUACGGCGGAACACGUGAAAUUCCGUCGGAAUCUGGGAGGACCAUCUCCCAAGGCUAAAUACUCCCUAGUGAUCGAUAGUGAACCAGUACCGUGAGAGAAAGGUGAAAAGCACCCCGGAAGGGGAGUGAAAGAGAUCCUGAAACCGUGUGCCUACAAAUAGUCAGAGCCCGUUAACGGGUGAUGGCGUGCCUUUUGUAGAAUGAACCGGCGAGUUACGAUCCCGUGCGAGGUUAAGCUGAAGAGGCGGAGCCGCAGCGAAAGCGAGUCUGAAUAGGGCGUUUAGUACGUGGUCGUAGACCCGAAACCAGGUGAUCUACCCAUGUCCAGGGUGAAGUUCAGGUAACACUGAAUGGAGGCCCGAACCCACGCACGUUGAAAAGUGCGGGGAUGAGGUGUGGGUAGCGGAGAAAUUCCAAUCGAACCUGGAGAUAGCUGGUUCUCCCCGAAAUAGCUUUAGGGCUAGCCUUAAGUGUAAGAGUCUUGGAGGUAGAGCACUGAUUGGACUAGGGGUCCUCAUCGGAUUACCGAAUUCAGUCAAACUCCGAAUGCCAAUGACUUAUCCUUAGGAGUCAGACUGCGAGUGAUAAGAUCCGUAGUCAAAAGGGAAACAGCCCAGACCGCCAGCUAAGGUCCCAAAGUGUGUAUUAAGUGGAAAAGGAUGUGGAGUUGCUUAGACAACUAGGAUGUUGGCUUAGAAGCAGCCACCAUUUAAAGAGUGCGUAAUAGCUCACUAGUCGAGUGACUCUGCGCCGAAAAUGUACCGGGGCUAAAUACACCACCGAAGCUGCGGAUUGAUACCAAUGGUAUCAGUGGUAGGGGAGCGUUCUAAGGACAGUGAAGUCAGACCGGAAGGACUGGUGGAGUGCUUAGAAGUGAGAAUGCCGGUAUGAGUAGCGAAAGACGGGUGAGAAUCCCGUCCACCGAAUGCCUAAGGUUUCCUGAGGAAGGCUCGUCCGCUCAGGGUUAGUCAGGACCUAAGCCGAGGCCGACAGGCGUAGGCGAUGGACAACAGGUUGAUAUUCCUGUACCACCUCUUUAUCGUUUGAGCAAUGGAGGGACGCAGAAGGAUAGAAGAAGCGUGCGAUUGGUUGUGCACGUCCAAGCAGUUAGGCUGAUAAGUAGGCAAAUCCGCUUAUCGUGAAGGCUGAGCUGUGAUGGGGAAGCUCCUUAUGGAGCGAAGUCUUUGAUUCCCCGCUGCCAAGAAAAGCUUCUAGCGAGAUAAAAGGUGCCUGUACCGCAAACCGACACAGGUAGGCGAGGAGAGAAUCCUAAGGUGUGCGAGAGAACUCUGGUUAAGGAACUCGGCAAAAUGACCCCGUAACUUCGGGAGAAGGGGUGCUUUCUUAACGGAAAGCCGCAGUGAAUAGGCCCAAGCGACUGUUUAGCAAAAACACAGCUCUCUGCGAAGCCGUAAGGCGAAGUAUAGGGGGUGACACCUGCCCGGUGCUGGAAGGUUAAGGAGAGGGGUUAGCGUAAGCGAAGCUCUGAACUGAAGCCCCAGUAAACGGCGGCCGUAACUAUAACGGUCCUAAGGUAGCGAAAUUCCUUGUCGGGUAAGUUCCGACCCGCACGAAAGGUGUAACGAUUUGGGCACUGUCUCAACCAGAGACUCGGUGAAAUUAUAGUACCUGUGAAGAUGCAGGUUACCCGCGACAGGACGGAAAGACCCCGUGGAGCUUUACUGUAGCCUGAUAUUGAAUUUUGGUACAGUUUGUACAGGAUAGGCGGGAGCCUUUGAAACCGGAGCGCUAGCUUCGGUGGAGGCGCUGGUGGGAUACCGCCCUGACUGUAUUGAAAUUCUAACCUACGGGUCUUAUCGACCCGGGAGACAGUGUCAGGUGGGCAGUUUGACUGGGGCGGUCGCCUCCUAAAGUGUAACGGAGGCGCCCAAAGGUUCCCUCAGAAUGGUUGGAAAUCAUUCGUAGAGUGCAAAGGCAUAAGGGAGCUUGACUGCGAGACCUACAAGUCGAGCAGGGACGAAAGUCGGGCUUAGUGAUCCGGUGGUUCCGCAUGGAAGGGCCAUCGCUCAACGGAUAAAAGCUACCCCGGGGAUAACAGGCUUAUCUCCCCCAAGAGUCCACAUCGACGGGGAGGUUUGGCACCUCGAUGUCGGCUCAUCGCAUCCUGGGGCUGUAGUCGGUCCCAAGGGUUGGGCUGUUCGCCCAUUAAAGCGGUACGCGAGCUGGGUUCAGAACGUCGUGAGACAGUUCGGUCCCUAUCCGUCGUGGGCGUAGGAAAUUUGAGAGGAGCUGUCCUUAGUACGAGAGGACCGGGAUGGACGCACCGCUGGUGUACCAGUUGUUCUGCCAAGGGCAUAGCUGGGUAGCUAUGUGCGGAAGGGAUAAGUGCUGAAAGCAUCUAAGCAUGAAGCCCCCCUCAAGAUGAGAUUUCCCAUAGCGUAAGCUAGUAAGAUCCCUGAAAGAUGAUCAGGUUGAUAGGUUCGAGGUGGAAGCAUGGUGACAUGUGGAGCUGACGAAUACUAAUAGAUCGAGGACUUAACCAU
rnacentral:rRNA from 1 species